AGUCGAUGAAAAGCGCAGCCAACUGUGUGAAUUAAUGUGAACUGCAUAUUGCUUUGAACAUCGACAACUUGAACGCACAUUGCGGCCAUGGGCUCGCCUGUGGCCACGUCUGUUCGAGGGUCG
rnacentral:rRNA from 1 species